GACGAACGCUGGCGGCGUGCUUAACACAUGCAAGUCGAACGGAAAGGCCCUGCUUUUGUGGGCUGCUCGAGUGGCGAACGGGGGAGUAACACGUGAGUAACCUGUCACUGACUUUGGGAUAUCCUCAGGCAACUGGGGCUAAUACCGGAUAGGAGCUACUGCCGCAGGGUGGGGGUUGGAAAGUUUCGGCGGUUGGGGAUGGAAUCGCGUCUUAACAGCUUGUUGGGGGGGUAGUGGCUUACCAAGGCUUUGCCGGGUAGCCGGCCUGAGAGGGUGACCGGCCACAUUGGGCCUGAGAUACGGCCCAGACUCCUACGGGAGGCAGCAGUGGAGAAUAUUGCACAAUGGGCGGAAGCCUGAUGCAGCAACGCCGCGUGCGGGAUGACGGCCUUCGGGUUGUAAUCCGCUUUCGCCUGUGACGAAGCGUGAGUGACGGUAAUGGGUAAAGAAGCACCGGCUAACUACGUG
rnacentral:rRNA from 1 species